GUAGGUGGCAAGCGUUGUCCGGAAUUAUUGGGCGUAAAGCGCGCGCAGGUGGUUCUUUAAGUCUGAUGUGAAAGCCCCCGGCUCAACCGGGGAGGGUCAUUGGAAACUGGGGAACUUGAGUGCAGGAGAGGAAAGUGGAAUUCCACGUGUAGCGGUGAAAUGCGUAGAUAUGUGGAGGAACACCAGUGGCGAAGGCGACUUUCUGGCCUGUAACUGACACUGAGGCGCGAAAGCGUGGGGAGCAAACAGGAUUAGAUACCCUGGUAGUCCACGCUGUAAACGAUGAGUGCUAAGUGUUGGGGGGGUUUCCCGCCCCUCAGUGCUGCAGCUAACGCAUUAAGCACUCCGCCUGGGGAUACGGUCGCAAGACUG
rnacentral:rRNA from 1 species